GAUGAACGCUGGCGGCGUGCCUAAUACAUGCAAGUCGAGCGAACAGACGAGGAGCUUGCUCCUCUGACGUUAGCGGCGGACGGGUGAGUAACACGUGGAUAACCUACCUAUAAGACUGGGAUAACUUCGGGAAACCGGAGCUAAUACCGGAUAAUAUAUUGAACCGCAUGGUUCAAUAGUGAAAGACGGUUUUGCUGUCACUUAUAGAUGGAUCCGCGCCGCAUUAGCUAGUUGGUAAGGUAACGGCUUACCAAGGCGACGAUGCGUAGCCGACCUGAGAGGGUGAUCGGCCACACUGGAACUGAGACACGGUCCAGACUCCUACGGGAGGCAGCGGUAGGGAAUCUUCCGCAAAGGGCGAAAGCCUGACGGAGCAACGCCGCGUGAGUGAUGAAGGUCUUCGGAUCGUAAAACUCUGUUAUUAGGGAAGAACAAAUGUGUAAGUAACUAUGCACGUCUUGACGGUACCUAAUCAGAAAGCCACGGCUAACUACGUG
rnacentral:rRNA from 1 species